GUGUUCGCUUCAGUAGCACACAUAUGAAAGUUGAAAUAGUACAGACAAGAUUCUCAUGGCCCCUGUGCAGGGAUGACGUGCAUGUUUGUGAGGCAGCCCUCUUGAUC